rnacentral:rRNA from 1 species
CCCGGUGACUGUAGCGGGGAGGAUACACCCGUUCCCAUUUCGAACACGGAAGUUAAGUUCCCCAGCGCCGAUGGUACUGCCUGGGCAACUGGGUGGGAGAGUAGGUCGUCGCCGGGU